UAGGGAAUCUUCCACAAUGGGCGAAAGCCUGAUGGAGCAACGCCGCGUGUGUGAUGAAGGGUUUCGGCUCGUAAAACACUGUUGUAAGAGAAGAAUGACAUUGAGAGUAACUGUUCAAUGUGUGACGGUAUCUUACCAGAACGGAACGGCUAAAUACGUGCCAC
rnacentral:rRNA from 1 species